UUAGCUUGUCAUUGCUUCAUUUCUAAUUGCUGCUUUCAUCCUUCAAACCUAAACUCAGAUCACGGCAGGCUAAGACCACUCCAGGUCACGUGGAGUGAUACGAGCUGCAGCAGUGCUAUCACAGUCAGCUGGGAUAACAUUGCUGGGGGAUAAGGACCAGCAAUCCCCCCCACCAACACUGAUUCUAUUUGUUUACUGCAUAUCUACUGAUCUUUUCAUCUCCUAUUUCUGAUUUAAUUACCAUGCAACAUGUUUCACUUUCAGCCGUGCAGCUCGUAAAUUGUCCUCCUUGGAGAAACAUAUUAUAUUUUUUUAAGGAGUACCUAUGCUUGAAAAAUAUGCGGGAGCAGAAAAACAGGAAUAAAACAGGUCAGGAUGAAAAUGAAGAAGAACAGGAGGAGGAGGAGAAGGAGGAUGAUUUUGUCCGAUAGUAACCCCGGCAGUGGAGGAAGGGAGGUUUGUCCGAUAGUAACCCCGGCAGAGAGAACGAUGGAGAAAAGCAGAG